rnacentral:rRNA from 1 species
CGGGUGAGUAACGCGUGGGUAACCUGCCUCAUACGGGGGAGUAACAGUUGGAAACGACUGCUAAUACCGCAUAAGCGCACAGGAUCGCAUGAUCCGGUGUGAAAAACUCCGGUGGUAUGAGAUGGACCCGCGUCUGAUUAGCCAGUUGGCAGGGUAACGGCCUACCAAAGCGACGAUCAGUAGCCGACCUGAGAGGGUGACCGGCCACAUUGGGACUGAGACACGGCCCAA